UGGGUUUCAUGUAAUCACAAGGGUCUUUACAUUAGUGUUAAAUAUAGUGAACCCCAAGUUUAUCUUCAAAGAAUCAGUAUGUCAGUAUGUGCAUCUAUCUUAUUGUUUGAUUCUCCAUUUUAAAGUUUAACUUCUUAAUUCUCUUUGCCCCCUUGCUUCCAGUUUCAGUAAACAACUUUCUUACCAGUCCUAAUAAAUAGUUCACAUCUGUUCCCCUGGUCACCUGCUUUGACCCUAGUCACCCCUGGUCACCUGCUCUAUCCUGACUCAUCCUGAGCCACCAGUUCUGUAACCGCCCUUCCCACCAAACUACUUACCCCACCACUCUGGCUCAUACUCCUGCUGUUUUUUAAAAGAGCCAAUUGGAAUUAGCUUAGACUGUGCAGUCCAACAGACUGUGCAGUCCGACCCUAGCCAAUGGGGGAGUGACACAGCAGUAGAGGCUACCUGCAUCAGGAAUAAGAACCUCUUCCCCUCCUCUGUCCAGGUGUGCUCUCGCCAUUGUUCCAUCUGCAAGGAGCACUCUUUCUGCAGAAGGGACCUAUUCUCCUCUGGGGGUAGUCUCCAGUCCUCUCUCCUAAGGAGGUGCCCUGCUGCCUCAUUGCUGUGGCCUCAGCGGUGAGGAAUUGAGACCCACCUGCUGUGCUGAAUAAACCCGGACUCUCAGCAAUGCGGAAAGAAACCGGCUGGUGACCUGAAGUAAAGGAUCCUCACAUACUACGUGGACCAGACAACCUCGUGCACAAGCCAAGGAAGGAAACACUGGAGGAGCUGAACUAAAGGUCUUUCAGCACAGGUGCCACCCCUAGCAUUUCCAGCACACCAGCAUCAGCCUGGGGACCACGUCGUUGUCAAAAGUUAGAGAGAAGGAAAACUUGAACUGGCAAAGGACCUUACCUAGUGCUCCUAACUACCGAAAUGGCAGUCUGGACAGCAGAAAAAGGAUGGACCCAUCACACCCAAGUCAAGAAAGUGCUGCCCCCUCCAGAGUCAUGGGCCGUAGUCCCAGGAGAAAACCCUAUCAAACUAAAGAUAAGAAAAAUUUAACUCCUUUCAUCUAUUCUGUUACUCCUUCUUCUUUCCUUGCUCUAUUGCUGACUACCUAGUUAUUAAUGUAACCAAGUCAAUUUUGCCUCAAACUAUUACAUUUGAUGGUUGCCUUGUUAUACCCUGUGGAGAUUUGCCAAGUUAGGGGCAACUCUCCACUUCAGAAAACUAUCUUUAUCCUUCCUAGCUCUCCUCAGACUAAAAAUCUGUUAACUGGGAUAAGUUAGUUUGAGAAGAGUUUGAUGAAGAUUCCAGUAUAAACUGGAAAUCUUGUCCUCCUAGAGCAGAGCUUCUCUGCCAAACUUGGCUCAAUGCUCUAUAAAAUACUAAAGAGCAAGGAUGGACCACACUAACUAGUACUUGCAGUUUCUUAAAACCAUAUAUUCAUUUUACUAAAGGAGCUAUCCCUCCCCACUGUCAGCUAAACCAAUGUAAUCCAGUACAGAUUACCAUCUCUGUUCCCCAGAGUUCUUCCCCUUCAUUAAACCAUUUCUAUGGUAUAGGAGCAGAAGUCUCAGGAUCCUUUGAAAUGUGCUUCAUUUCCUCCUCACUUCCUGUACCCUUUUCUCCCUCUCCUAAGUUCUCCUCUAACCAACAUUCUCUUGUUAUAUACCCAAUGAUAAAACCAAACUAGUUGUUGUAGAGGUUAACUAUUUAAAACAAACUAUAGCAAUUGAAACAGGGUAUCAGGAUGCAAAUGCUUGGCUGGAAUGGAUAAAAUAUUCUGUUUGCACGAUAAACAAAAGUGACUGUAACGCUUGUGCGAUAGGCAGGCCAGAGACCCAGAUUGUUCCCUUUCCACUUGGGUGGUCCUCUCAGGGACCUGGCAUGAGCUGUAUGGUAGCUGUCUUCCAGAACCCCACAGCCUGGGGCGAUGAGUCAUGCAAGGCUCUUUUACUGCUGUUCUCUGAGGUUAAGAGCCCUGUGGGUCAGCCCUCAAGGGCCUUCUGGCCUCCAGCCCCUGAUGUUAACUUCACCUCAUUCCUUUCACAGCAGGGGAAAAAGUUAGCAUUCCUUGAAGAUUUAACAGGGUGCAGUGUAACCAAGCCUUUCCAAGAGCUUACCAAUCAGUCUGUCCUUGUUCAUCCCUGAGCAUAAGUGUGGUGGUAUCAUGGGGGACUAUUGCUGGAUACUCUGCCAAGUUAUUAGAGCAGCACUUGUGCUCUAGUCCAAUUCACCAUCCCUUUCACUCUAGCAUUUCAUCAACAUGAUUACAAAAAAAGAGAGAAAAUCAUAAAAGAAGAAGUGCCCUAUAUGGGUCCUUUGACCCCCAUGUUUAUGUAAAUGCUAUUAGAGCUCAAUGAGGAGUGCCAGAUGAAUUUAAAGCCCAUGAUCAAAUAGCUUCAGGAUUUCAGUCAAUAUUCUAGUGGGUAAAAAUUAAUAAAAAUGUAGACUGGAUGAAUUACAUCUAUUAUGAUCAACAGUGGUUUAUUAACUACACUAGAGAUGCUGCUAAAGAAAUAGCAAUGCAAUUAGGGGCUACUAGCCAGAUGGCUUGGGAAAAUAGAAUAGCCUUAGACAUUAUAUCAGCAGCAGAAGGAGGAGGAGUUUGCAUCAUGAUUAAAACUCAAUAUUGUACCUUCAUCCCAAACAAUACUGCCCCUGAUGGAAGUAUAACAAGGCAUUGCAAGGUCUAACUGCUCUGUCCAAUGAGUUAACCAAAAACUCAGCGGUAAGUGACCCCUUUAAAAGGUGCCUAGAAAAAUCAUUCAGUAAAUGGAAAAAAAAAAUCAUAGCCUCAGUUCUUACUUCUCUCACAGCCAUAGUAGGCGUAUUCAUUCUUGUUGGGUGUUUUGUCAUACCAUGCAUCCGUGGGCUGGUUCACAGACUCAUACAGGCAGCACUUACUAAAACCUCCCUUAAUUCUCCUCCACCUUAUUCAGAGAAGCUUUUUCUUUUAGAGAAUCAUGCAGAACAACUAAGCCAAGACAUUUUAAGGAAGUUUGAAGAGAAGGAACUGUAAAAAUUCAAGAUGAAGAACUGUUAAAUAUAGUGAACCCCAAGUUUCUAUUCAAAGAAUCAGUAUGUCAGUAUGUUCAGCUCUCUUAUUGAUUCUCCAUUUUAAAGUUUAACUUCCUGGUUCCCUUUGCCCCCUCCCUUCUAAUUUCAGUAAACAACUUUCCCACCAGUCCUAAUCAGUAGUUCACAUCUCUUCCCCUGGUCACCUGCUUUGAUAUGACUCACCCCUGGUCACCUGCUCCAUCCUGACUCAUCCUGAGCCACCAGUUCUGUAACUGCCCUUCCUGCCAAACUACAUGCCUCACCACUCUGGCUCAUACUCCUGCUCUUUUUUAAAAUAGCCAGUUGGAAUUGCUUAGACUGUGCAGUCCAACCUAGCCAAUAGGGGAAUGACACAGCAGUAAAGGCUAUCUCCAUCAGGAAUAAUAACCUCUUCUCCUCCUCUGUCCAGGUGUGCUCUCACCAUUGUUCCAUCUGCAAGGAGCACUCUUUCUGCAGAAAGUAAAAAUUGCCUUGCCGAGAAAAUUAAAUUUAUGUUUGAGUGCUAUUUCUUUGUGACACCAGGGAAAAAGCAUUUUGCAUUUCUAAUGUAAGGGAGAUGUGAGAAUAAGAGUCAGUAGUAGGAGUAGGAGAUGUGACAACAGAAGCAAGUGUUUGGAGUGAAAGAAGGAAGAGUUCAUGAGCCAAGGAAUGCAGGCAGCCUUUAGGAGGUGAAAUAGGCAGGAAAACAGAUUAUUCACUACAGUCUCUAGGAGAAAACAGACUUGACAUCUACUUGAUUUAUCUCACCUAGGGGUGUUUGCCAGCACCUCUACUAACACUACAUUAAUACAUUUGCAUUUCCCAAUGAAGAAGGUUGAAAGGUAUAAUGUAUAAUUUCCAUUUGGAUCUUCCCAUUAAUGUAAUACUCAUUUCCACUUUCUCUUCUAUUAUCUCUCUCAAUCAUUUCCCUAUGUUUCUAUCACCUUAGAGGUUUUGCUGCCAUAUUACUUGAUAGGAAAAUAACAAGUUUUAAUACAAGAUGUGUGAUAUGAGCCCAAUAUUGUAAUAAACAUUUAACCCUAUAUGUAUGUGUGCAUAAGUUACAUAUAUGUGUGUGUAUAUAUAUAUAUAUAUGCAUAUAUAUAAAAUGGGUAAAUACACAUAAUGUACACAGACAUAUAUAGAUGUUCAUGUACACCUGUAUCCACAUAUUAUCUUUAAAACGUAUUCCAAAAUGUAAGUAACUUCUUCUGGGAGAUGAGCUGUGAGAAGCAUAACAAAUUAUGUUACUUCUUAUUUCUUACAUUUCAAGUAGAAGACAGGAAAAGUGGUGAAUAUAAUUUAACAUAAGAUACUUAGUUGUCUAUUCUUUGGAGAUGACAUGAGGCUAAUUAUAUUUAGGACCAUAGCAUAAAAUUAUCAUCCCACUUAUGUUAAAAGUAAAAUAAUGUAGGAGAAGCUGAGAGAGAUUAAAUCUUUGUAAUUCUUCUUAGAAAUUUUGCCCAGCCAAGCAUGGUAGCUCAUGCCUGUAAUCCCAGCACUUUGGGAGUCCGAGAUGGGUGGAUCACUUGAGGUCAGGAGUUCAAGACUAGUCUGGCCAGCAUGGUGAAAUGCUGUCUCUACUAAAAAUACAAAAAUUAGCCUGGUAUGGGGGUUGGCACCUGUAAUCCCAGCUACUUGGGAGGCUGAAGCAGGAGAAUCACUUGAACCCUGGAGGUGGAGAUUGCAGUGAGCCAAGAUCAUGCCAUUGUACUCCAGCCUGGGCAACAAAAGCGAGACUACAUCUCAAAACAAACAAACAAACAAACAAAAACCAAAAAGAAAUUUUGUUUAUGUUUGAAGAGAGAAACAUGACAGAACACAUGAGCAGCGAUAUGAAAGCAUGUAUUUAUACUUCAUUACAUCAUUCUAAGUUGGAAACAUGAAGUAAUAAAAGUAAUCUGAUUCUUUAUUUAGAGAUAAAGUAAUGACACUUCAAAGUAACACCAGGCCAGGCGCAGUGGCUCACACCUGUAAUCCCAGCACUUUGGGAGGCUGAGGCAGGCAGAUCACAAGGUCAGGAGAUUAAGACCAUCCUGGCUAACACGGUGAAAACCCGUCUGUACUAAAAAUACAAAAAAUUAGCCAGGUGUGGUGGCAUGCACCUGUAAUCCCAGCUACUCAGGAGGCUGAGGCAGGAGAAUCACUUGAACCUGGGAGGCGGAGGUUAUAGAGAGCUGAGAUCACACCACUGCACUCCAGCCUGGGUGACAGAGCAAGACUUUGUCUCAAAAAAAAAGGAACACCAAUGUGGAUAUAAGAAUUCUAGCAUUUAAUGUCCAUUCCACCCUUUGACUGAUCCUCUGAAUAUUUCCCUAGAGGUUAGAGCUGCCCCUGGACACAGUUUCUCACUUUCAAAUCCAAUCCUCAAGUAACUCUAACACUCACCCAAAAUAGCUUCCCUACCCUCUUCCUCUUUGUCCUUUCUGUCCUUAUCAUUUUGAGAACCAGCAUGGCCUCCUGGAACUCUAUUUUCUUUAAUUUCUGACCUACAUUAUGCAUAAAAGAAGGAAGGUCUAAUAAACUGACUCAGCAAAUAAUAAUGCUUUUUAUUUAGAACAUGCAGAAAAGAAAUGCCUUUGAAUUAUAAUACACAAAUCAUAUUUCUCUAUUUAAUAAUAACAUAUUAAUAACUCAACAUUAGAUAAGUAUGAGCAUUAUGUGACAGUCAAUGCAACUGUUACAGAGUAUGGAGAAUAGCAGAUAUAUUU
rnacentral:lncRNA from 10 species